rnacentral:rRNA from 1 species
AUGGAGGCUUCGAAAGGCAAAUUCUUUAAACUAGAUCAUUGUUGGGAGUUGCUCAAGAAUUGCGACAAGUGGGCGUUGAUAGAGAAAGAGUCCCCACCAAAGAGAGGUUCACUUACAAACAUGGAUGAUGAUGGCCCAAGAAACUUGAACAAGCCCGAUGGCGACAAAAAGACUACGAAGAAGAUCAAGAGAGAGCACGAAGCGUCGAGCUUGAGGGAGAAGAUUGAUGCCAUGGUGCAAUCAAAUGAGAUGAUGCUUUUGAAGUCAUUGGAGAUCAAGAAAGAAUUGACUGAGAAGAAGGAACGGGAGAAGCAUGCGAAAUGA